GAUGAACGCUGGCGGCGUGCCUAAUACAUGCAAGUCGAGCGAACAGACGAGGAGCUUGCUCCUCUGACGUUAGCGGCGGACGGGUGAGUAACACGUGGAUAACCUACCUAUAAGACUGGGAUAACUUCGGGAAACCGGAGCUAAUACCGGAUAAUAUAUUGAACCGCAUGGUUCAAUAGUGAAAUACGGUUUUGCUGUCACUUAUAGAUGGAUCCGCGCCGCAUUAGCUAGUUGGUAAGGUAACGGCUUACCAAGGCAACGAUGCGUAGCCGACCUGAGAGGGUGAUCGGCCACACUGGAACUGAGACACGGUCCAGACUCCUACGGGAGCCAGCAGUAGGGAAUCUUCCGCAAUGGGCGAAAGCCUGACGGAGCAACGCCGAGUGAGUGAUGAAGGUCUUCGGAUCGUAAAACUCUGUUAUUAGGGAAGAACAAAUGUGUAAGUAACUAUGCACGUCUUGACGGUACCUAAUCAGAAAGCCACGGCUAACUACGUG
rnacentral:rRNA from 1 species